CGCGAUGCGACACGGUGACGUGGGGCGGAUCGCUGAAAACCGGUCUCAGUUCGGAUCGCAGUCUGCAACUCGACUGCGUGAAGGCGGAGUCGCUAGUAAUCGCGGAUCAGCAACGCCGCGGUGAAUGCGUUCCCGGGCCUUGUACACACCGCCCGUCAAGUCAUGAAAGUGGGUAGCACCCGAAGCCGGUGGCCCGACCCUCGUGGGGGGAGCCGUCUAAGGUGAGACUCGUGAUUGGGACUAAGUCGUAACAAGGUAUC
rnacentral:rRNA from 1 species